CGCCCCAGCGUCAGACGCACAAUAUCUCUAUCCCCUUCUCCUGCUUCUUGCUGGUCCACAACCUCCCGAACAGAGAGUUUGUCCGCUGCCACCGCCAUCCCCUGCACCACAGCCGCAACGUUCGGGUCUGAUUCGGUUCUGUCCUCCAUGUCCUCGCUCCUAGUACUCCAUACUUUGUUUAAUCAACCAAAUAAUAUCAAGGGAUCCUCGACCAGAUAAUAUCAGGGGACCGUCUUUGUGACAUUUAAUUUACCUCUUCCAUCAUGUGUUACUAAUAUGUUUGGUCGGUGGCUUCGGGGUGUUGAAUUUUUUUUUGCUUCGCUCAUCCUUGUAGGGACUUGUGCGAUAUGUUGAUCUAUAUGAAAUUGCAGAAAUGAUUUGGUUUUUCAUAACAAGAAAUUGGCUAAUUUCUCGCAGGUUGUUCUUCGGGCGUCCCAUUGGCUCCUUACGUGGUCCCUACUGCUUCGGACAGAGGCACAUGGGUGUAUGGAAUCUGGGUGCAACCAUUUGGAGACGAUAGCACGGGAGUUAUUCAGCCGAUUUGGAUGGCGCGCAAGUCUUAGGCUGGAAGGAUAUUGAUGUUUUUCUUUCAUUCUUUUUUUCAUUAUCUUUUGCAACUCUGAGACAUGUACUUUGAAUACUUUUAAUAAUUUAUGGCUGUGUGCAUCGAUCGAUGCAGAGGCCGGGGGAUGUC
rnacentral:lncRNA from 1 species